UACGUAGGGUGCGAGCGUUAAUCGGAAUUACUGAGCGUAAAGCGUGCGCAGGCGGUUUUGUAAGCCAGAUGUGAAAGCCCCGGGCUCAACCUGGGAAUGGCAGUGGAAACUAGGGGACUGGAAUCUGGCAGAGGGGGGUGGAAUGCCGCGUGUAGCAGUGAAAUGCGUAGAGAUGCGGCGGAACACCGAUGGCGAAGGCAGCCCCCUGGGCUGAGAUUGACGCUCAGGCACGAAAGCGUGGGGAGCAAACAGG
rnacentral:rRNA from 1 species